rnacentral:rRNA from 1 species
UACGUAGGGUCCGAGCGUUUGUCCGGAAUUACUGGGCGUAAAGAGCUCGUAGGCGGCUUGUCACGUCGACUGUGAAAACCCGGGGCUCAACUCCGGGCCUGCAGUCGAUACGGGCUGGCUUGAGUGCGGUAGGGGAGACUGGAAUUCCUGGUGUAGCGGUGAAAUGCGCAGAUAUCAGGAGGAACACCGGUGGCGAAGGCGGAUGUCU